rnacentral:misc_RNA from 1 species
UAGUCGUAACAAGGUUUCCAUAGGUGAACCUGCGGAAGGAUCAUUAACAAAUGAAACGAAAACAACCACCUUGUGUGUACUCUAUUAAAAUAUUUUUUUCCAAGGAAAGAGGAGGAGAGAAGAAGGGGAAGGGUGAAGAAGAAGGGGGGAAACUAAGUUUUUCCUCCUCUCCCCCCGUUCCUCUUUUCUUUCUUUCUUUCUUUCUUUCUUUUCGAAAAUAUAAUCAACUCUUUUAAAACAUGUUGAUCCUGAACAAAAUUUUGAUAUAACAAAAUAAACAACUUUCAACAACGGAUCUCUUGGCUCUC